rnacentral:lncRNA from 1 species
AUAGCUCGAAUUCGUUGAUUUGCAUGUUCUUUGAAAUCUGAAUUUGGAGUAUAUUUAGUAUUUUUGAAGAAUUAUACAUGUUGGACUUGGAAUUGAUUUAGGAGAAAACUAUUAGAUUCUACACUGUCAUUUUCUGAAAACUACCAGAUUUAGUUUUAGGAACUAUGGUUGGUUUGUAUCGCCGCAGUUUGUACACGCCGGAUAUACAAAACAGUGUAGAAUGAAUUUACGCUUAUACUGGGAUGCCGAGCUUAUUUUACAUUAGUGUAUAGAUUGUUUCGGUCUGUCGGGUGCCGUCGCGGUUGACAGUGGACCGAAAUUUCUGUUGUUG